rnacentral:rRNA from 1 species
AUUGAACGCUGGCGGCAGGCCUAACACAUGCAAGUCGAGCGAGCGGCGGACGGGUGAGUACUGUCGGGGAAACUGCCUGAUGGAGGGGGAUCACUGCUGGAAACGGUAGCUAAUACCGCAUACCAUCAGAUGUAGCCAGAUGGGAUGAGCUAGUGGGUGGGGUAACGGCACACCUGGCCGACGAUCCCUAGCUGGUCUGAGAGGAUGACCAGCCACACUGGAACUGAGCCCCGGUCCAGACUCCUACGGGAGGCAGCAGUGGGGAAGAUUGCACAAUGGGCGAAAGCCUGAUGCAGCCAUGCCGCGUGUGUGAAGAAGGUCUUCGGGUUGUAAAGCACUUUCAGCGGGGAGGCGUUACCCGCAGAAGAAGCACCGGCUAACUCCGUGCCAGCAGCCGCGGUAAUAC